rnacentral:rRNA from 1 species
GAACGCUGGCGGCAGGCUUACACAUGCAAGUCGAGCGCUCGUAGCAAUACGGGAGCGGCAGACGGGAGAGUAACGCGUGGGAACGUACCUUUCGGUUCGGAAUAACCCAGGGAAACUUGGGCUAAUACCGGAUACGUCCGUAAGGAGAAAGAUUUAUCGCCGGAAGAUCGGCCCGCGUCCGAUUAGCUAGUCGGUGUGGUAAUGGCGCACCAAGGCGACGAUCGGUAGCUGGUCUGAGAGGAUGAUCAGCCUCACUGGGACUGAGACACGGCCCAGACUCCUACGGGAGGCAGCAGUGGGGAAUAUUGGACAAUGGGCGCAAGCCUGAUCCAGCCAUGCCGCGUGGGUGAUGAAGGCCUUAGGGUUGUAAAGCCCUUUCGGCGGGGAAGAUAAUGACGGUACCCGCAGAAGAAGCCCCGGCUAACUUCGUGCCAGCAGCCGCGGUAAUACGAAGGGGGCUAGCGUUGCUCGGAAUCACUGGGCGUAAAGCGCACGUAGGCGGGUCUUUAAGUCAGGGGUGAAAUCCUGGAGCUCAACUCCAGAACUGCCUUUGAUACUGGAGAUC